GAUGAACGCUGGCGGCGUGCCUAACACAUGCAAGUCGAACGGAGUCCAGCCUUAGAGACCUUCGGGUCAAAGAGGGGAAGACUGAGUGGCGGACGGGUGAGUAACACGUGGGCAACCUGGCUCAUAGAGGGGGAUAACAGAGAGAAAUUUCUGCUAAUACCGCAUAAGCACACACUGCCGCAUGGCAGAGUGUGAAAAGAGAAUCGCUAUGAGAUGGACCCGCGUCUGAUUAGCCAGUUGGCAGGGUAAGAGCCUACCAAAGCGACGAUCAGUAGCCGAUUUGAGAGGAUGAACGGCCACAUUGGGACUGAGACACGGCCCAAACUCCUACGGGAGGCAGCAGUGGGGGAUAUUGCACAAUGGGGGGAACCCUGAUGCAGCGACGCCGCGUGAGUGAAGAAGUAUUUCGGUAUGCAAAGCUCUAUCAGCAGGGAAGAUAAUGACAGUACCUAAAUAAGAAGCCCCGGCUAACUACGUG
rnacentral:rRNA from 1 species